rnacentral:rRNA from 1 species
UGAAUACGAGAUGCUACGGCGUCGAAGCAGUGUAUGUCAGACUUCCAAGAAAAGCUCGCAAUGUCAUAAAUAAAGAAUGCCUGUACCAUAACCGACACAGGUGGGUAGGUAGAGUAUACUAAGGGGCGCGAGAUAACUCUCUCUAAGGAACUCGGCAAAAUAACUCCGUAACUUCGGGAGAAGGAGUGCCUUCUUUAAGAAGGUUGCAAUAACAAGAUCCAAGCAACUGUUUAUCAAAAACACAGGUCUCCGCUAAGUCGUAAGACGAUGUAUGGGGGCUGACGCCUGCCCAGUGCCAGAAGGUUAAAGAAGUUGGUUAGCUUUUGCGAAGCUGAUGACUGAAGCCCUGGUGAACGGCGGCCGUAACAAUAACGGUCCUAAGGUAGCGAAAUUCCUUGUCGGGUAAGUUCCGACCCGCACGAAAGGCGUAAUGAUUUGGAUACUGUCUCGGAGAGGGACUCGGUGAAAUAGACUUGUCUGUGAAGAUGCGGACUACCUGCACCAGGACAGAAAGACCCUAUGAAGCUUUACUGUAACUUGAGAUUGAAAUUGGACUUUAUUUGCGCAGUAUAGGUGGAAGGCGUUGAAAGUAAUCUUGCGGGAUUAGUGGAGCCAUCAGUGAGAUACCACUCCUAUAAUGUUAGAUUUCUAACUUUGGAUCAUGAUCUGGUCAAAGAACAGUUUCAGGCGGGCAGUUUGACUGGGGCGGUCGCCUCCCAAAUGGUAACGGAGGCGUACAAAGGUUUCCUCUGAACGGGUAGAAAUCGUAUCUAGAGUGUAAAGGCAUAAGGAAGCUUGACUGUGAGACCUACAAGUCGAGCAGGGACGAAAGUCGGUCUUAGUGAUCUGACGGUGCUGAGUGGAAAGGCCGUCACUCAACGGAUAAAAGUUACUCUAGGAUAACAGGCUGAUCUCCCCCAAGAGUUCACAUCGACGGGGAGGUUUGGCACCUCGAUGUCGGCUCAUCGCAUCCUGGGGCGGUAGUACGUCCCAAGGGUUGGGCUGUUCGCCCAUGAAAGCGGUACGCGAGCUGGGUUCAGAACGUCGUGAGACAGUUCGGUCCAUAUCCGGUGUAGGCGUUAGAAUAUUGAGAGGAGCCUUCUUUAGUACGAGAGGACCGAGAAGGACAUACUUCUGGUGUACCAGUUAUCGUGCCAACGGUAAACGCUGGGUAGCUAUGUAUGGAGAGGAUAACCGCUGAAAGCAUCUAAGUGGGAAGCCCACCUCAAGAUGAGUAUUC